AAUCCAUAGGUUAAUGAGGCGAACCGGGGGAACUGAAACAUCUAAGUACCCCGAGGAAAAGAAAUCAACCGAGAUUCCCCCAGUAGCGGCGAGCGAACGGGGAGGAGCCCAGAGCCUGAAUCAGCAUGUGUGUUAGUGGAAGCGUCUGGAAAGGCGCGCGAUACAGGGUGACAGCCCCGUACACAAAAGCGCAUGUGCUGUGAGCUCGAUGAGUAGGGCGGGACACGUGGUAUCCUGUCUGAAUAUGGGGGGACCAUCCUCCAAGGCUAAAUACUCCUGACUGACCGAUAGUGAACCAGUACCGUGAGGGAAAGGCGAAAAGAACCCCGGCGAGGGGAGUGAAAAAGAACCUGAAACCGUGUACGUACAAGCAGUGGGAGCCCCACCACCAAAGCAUUCUCUGGUGUUGAAGGCCCUGCAAA
rnacentral:rRNA from 1 species